AGGGCUCGACGUAGAGGGCGCGACGGCUCCAGGGCAUGCAGGGAAACAGCGGAUCUGGUGCAGCGGUCCGAGGUGGACUGGAUCGGGGGCGAGAGGCAGGUUCUAGCGAAGGAGGGAUGGAUUCGGCCGAUGCGGCGACCUGCCGGAGAGCGGCAGCGGCGGGGCUGGAUCCGGUCGAUGGGCAACCACCGGAUCAGUUUGGGAGCCCAGCAGCAGCGCUCCGUCCACACCCUGGGCUGGACCGGCAGCAGCACUGCUCCCUCCCUCCUAGCCCCGCGCUAGAUUGGCAGCAGCAGCGUAGAUGGAUUCAACCGCCAGCUCGGGCCACGAAGGGCUUGACCCCAGCCACAAAUUGCCCCCAUAGAGUAUGUUGACUAUGUCCUAAUAUGUAUGCUCAAUUUUGUCUUCUUGUCUCAAAAAAAAGUUUGUCUUCUUGAUUUUUCUGGCUGCGGGGCAUGGGAGCCAUGGAUCGAUCCCACGUACACAGGUACUACAUUAUUUUUUCGUAUGCUUCUUCUAGAUUUCGUUUUGAGCCGAUAAGUGCGAGAUGUGGCAUCACUUCUCGGCUCUACAAAAUCCAUUGCUGAAGUGCGUGUCCUGGGGUCCCAGCCUCCAUCACUUCUUCAGUUCCCGCUAGGUUCAAGAACAAAAAAAAUCAGUGCGGAAGACCACUAGCAGAAUUGGAUGUUGUAUGCACCUUCAUCUUGCAGUCCAAUUACUUGGAUUAUUUGGGACAAAUUCGUUUGCUUUUAACCGUACGACAGUUAUAUAGCAGGAUAAGGAUACAUGCUUGUACUGCCUCUAUCACAAAUUGCACAUGAGUUAACUAGAAAGCUAGCAAUCAAUCGCCCUGAAGGUAUUGCUCUUUUAUUUUAUUUCAGAUCGUGAGGAAAGGGGUUCAGAUAAGUGACUACUCUAUGCUGUACUAACUACUUUAUGUUGUACUGACUAAUCUUAGAAAUAUAUUUGGUCCAGGAGUAGUACAUAGAGCAUUUCUGGAUCAGAUAUACACACGCUAUUCACCUUCAUAACCCGAUUUUUUUUGCUUAUGAUGAUGUUUAUUAUCGGAAAGCUCUUGACAAAAGCAUCAAGUAAUGGGCCAAUACUCAAAUAACUGACUCACCUACAAUCUUUUUUUCUAACGGCAGUAUUAUAUACACAAUAAUAAUUUUUUACAUUUUUCUUAUUGGGAGGCCUGAGACAUUGCUGAAGCCUUUUGAAGUGAUCGAUUUGAGACACUAAAGACUCUGGAGAGCGUUUGUGUGGAGUUUGUUUCUUUUGUUCUGCAUAACUGUGAUGCCUUGAUGCGGGGUUGUAUUGUGAUCUGAACUUUAGUUUGGUUCGAUGCGUGUUGAUGGUGCUUCAGGGUUUUCGCCUCGUAGUGGGCGUUUCGAUUGCGAGCGCUCACAGCGGGUUUCCCUGAAGUGCUUGAUCCCGCUGUUUCCCUUUCCCUUGUUUGAACUUGGAACUGGCUGUAUUUCCGUUAUAUUUUUAAUGGAAAGGGGAUUAGCCCGGGUCAAAAAAAACAUUUUUCUUAUUGUUGCAAAUAUAUAUCUUGGUAGUUAUAAAUGAUACAUCUAUUUGAUCAUCAGAUGCUUAUCUGUAGUGUUUAGGAGAGUUUUUUUGAUUGGAAAUGGCUUUUGAUUCUUGGUUCUUGAGGUGGUAUAUUACUCUGAAGCACUUCAAUUCUUGGCUCUGGCUAAGCAUAAUAUAUUACUUUACUACUGAGAUUUGGCUACUAAUGAUAUAUGUUACCAUUGUUUUUGUUGUCUUUGAUAGUAUAAAAGAUCGGAAGUGCAUCAGCUAUCACUGCUCCUGUUUGUUGGUAGAUUUGGCAAACCCUCUAAGUUCAUUUUCCACGAAAAUAUAGUUUGUAACACUGGUUCGAAUUAAUAUAUUGAUAUAAGUAGGGCAAUAUCCAAGUUUCUUUAUACUGAUAUAAGUUCAGAAUUUGCAACACCAUUCUACUACUUACACAAGAGCCUUGUGGCUAAUCAUACUUGAUCCUGUGUGCUCUCAUCUGUAGGUAUGGGUUUCACAUCGUUGUCAAUUUUGAUAUGUUUCACGGGAUGAAUGAUGCGUCAGAUUCUUCUAAAACUGCCACUAUUCAGUAUGUAUCCGUCGCAACCCUAAGUUAUGUCUGUCAUGCAUUCAUUAUCUUUAUUUUUUGAGGCUCAAUCCACUUUUAGCUUUUGUCCUCUUGGAGACGUCCUCCUUGAACAGUUUGGAUUCAGUCAUCAAGUCCAUCAUAGGUUUCUGCUGGAUGCCCAGCAUCCGCUUGCACUUAGACAGGGAGGGAGGGAAGGAGCUGCCAUAUUGAAGCAUCCCAUAUUUAUGCUUACCCCGAUCUCUAGAGUCAAGGAUCCUUCACUGAUUGAAAGAUGCAAAUACUGAGCUAUGCUAACUAGAGUAAUGCUAUCUACUUUAUAUCAGCGCAUUUUAUUUGAUUCUUGCGGUAUCUAGACAAUAUUGCACGACCAAAUCAUAACAGACCGGGUGAUUGACAUUCACCUACCUGUAAGGAUUCUCCCAGGUUGUAUCUAUCGAGGAGUGAGCGGAGGAGCAGGAUUAGGAGGUGCCCAUUGUGGCCUAGCAGCUGAUGUCUCCCCGGUGGCUUCAUAAUAUGCCAGACUGCUUCUUGUGUGUUUGCAGCUUGCUAAACAUUCAUCAAAAUUAUGGUUCGUUGCACCUUGUACAAGUAUGAAUUUUUGCCAUAUCCCACUUCAGGGCAUAAUUUUUUUUUGAAACGGCAGCGCACAAAUUAAGUUUUUUUUAUAUUGGAUCGAUAUUUGUAUGGUUGACUUCGACAGAACCUUUUACAACCAGCUACAUAGUAUGGUAAAUCACUAAACUGUAAUGCUUCAGUCUCCCUGUGUUCUAAAAAUAAAAUGCUUGGAACUUUUAACUUAUCAAGCAAUGACUUUAUUUACUCAUAUGUGUAUUGUUUGAUUCGGAGGCUAACAAUAACUUUUGACCAACUAUUGGGAGACCACUAUCUUAUCUUAGAAACAGGAGUAUUAUUAACUUUUGACAAACUAUUGUUAAGUACACUAUUGGGAGUCUUGAGCCAUGUUUGUGUUGUUAGGGGCAUGAUUUUUUUUUUCUCCCGUUGCAACGCAUGGGCAUAUAUUAGGUGGCAUCGCUGGUCCGUGUAAAAUGGGUUUAAACUUGGCGAAGCUAUUGAACAACACUCUUGCUUUCUUCUGUUAGGACCCUUUAUCAAUCAUUGAGCCACGCCAAGUUUUUGAGAUGGUAAUGAAGCCUGCCACAUUAAAUUUGUCCCUCCCCUUGGUUCUUUGUUAUCUAUUCUUUUGAAUUCCUGAAUUUUCUCUGCAAAAUAAGUCUUGCUUUGCCAGAAGAUUGAACUGUUUCUUUUCAGCUACGAUCAUCUAAUCUCAUAUAUGUGUUCAUUUGAACUUAUUUACUCUUUUGACUGUUGAUUUGGUUUGCUUUGCCUGAAGAUUGAACUGUUUCUUUUUACUGUUGAUUUAUGAACUCCAAGUACUGAUGUGCAUAAUUAAGCAUCUGUUCAUCAGGUGUCAUUGUAUAUGGACAAGUCUGCAGGGGUUUGCCAGUCGGACUUCCAUGAUUGCAAAUUGUCGUUCCUGCAAAUUAUAUGUGAUCACGAUCUUUUUGUUGAGAUGACUGACCAGCAAUAUUGUUCAGAGACUUUGGUCGUCCUCCACAGCGGGAUGCGACCUCCCUGGAGCAGUGGGUCAGGCGCAUCAUCGGAGGGGGAGAAGAUCUUGUUAUCUACAACAACGUUGAGUGAACCGCCGUCGAACUGAAGCGCGCCUCCUAUAGCUGCGACCCUGUGUUGGCCCUGUCCGCGUACGUCCGCUAAGACCGGAAACAGAGCAGAAAAGGAGUUCAAAUGUCCUCUCUCUGUUUUUCCUCCCUCUAGGAGGGCGUUGCCGGAGCAGUUAAGCCAUGCGGAGGUUUGAAAAUGGCACAGGAGGCGGCCUAAGGGUGGCACGGCGUACAAUCCCUCUACUGUCAUUUUAUAUCUCUGAAUUUUUUUUGCUGCAUGCGCAGGUGUUUCAGGCAGAAACAGUAAUAGCAUCGACUAGGAGGAGCAAGACAAGAAGCAACGACAACUACCAUUGCUGGCUAAGCUACCUACUACGAUGCCCGCCUCUCUUUGCAAUGGCCAAAGCACACAACAAUCCACAGUUUGGUGAAUUUUCCCCCCACUUUGGUGACAUGGGACGGAUUGUGGGCAACAGCAUUUUAGAAGAAUCGGUAGUAGAAACGUGAAUGUUAAAGCCAAUGGGUUAGAAAACUAUAAGGAUACUUGAUUUGUUUCCAUGUCUACCUUUCAGUAUUCAGCCUUGCGAGAAAAGGUGCCGCAGGAUAGAAGCUUGACAUAGGUGAAUCAGAAUUCAAAAGAUCAAUGGAAGUUUGCUUAUGAAAGUAAAAGAUCAAUGUACUAAUGCAUUUCAAGUUUUCAACACGAGAGACUUUCUGAUGUUUUAGUGACCAGGUAUUAUUGAUCUUGAGGUGUGUUA